rnacentral:lncRNA from 1 species
GACCCUGAGGACAAGGGUAGAAACUGGCUGGAGGACCGUCAGCCACAUCUGGAGGUCUGGAGGCCCUGCACACCUCCUCCAUGCAGCCCCUCACUCACCCUAGGAAAUGCUCCGGACACCUCGGAAGGGAAGGAGAAGUCACUUCAGAAUUCAAACACCCUCGGAGUUUCUUCCCACUCGAUGGUCUUCCUCUCCCUUCUCUCCAAAAGUGAGUAACAGCUGUAACAGAGGGAUCUGACUUAUCCUAGGGCACCGGGGCAGGAGCCUCUGGGGGCCUCCGGGACUUCACCUCUUUUCUGACUGUUUGCUGCUGGAGGCUCACAACU